UCUGCUGCACUUUCCGGGAGGGAGGAGGCUGCAGGCUGCCUCUGAGGGGGCUGAGGGAGGGAGGGGCCGACGUGCCAGGAGGGGCCCAGUUAGAGUCACCGCUGGGCUGGCAGAGGCCGUACCCUCCCUCCAGCCAGGGAGGACAGGAGACAGGAGGAGGUGAGGCCAGAGGGCAGAGAGGGCGGGAGUGUGGUGAGUCAGGGGCAGGCCUCCUCCCUGCUCUGAAGCCCCCAGGACCUUCUCUCCUGGACCCCACCUCCUUCCUGGAGUCCUGGUCUCAGGGAGGCUGUGGUUUGCGUUACAGCUGCUCCCUUUUGUCAGGCACCCCUUCCCCAGCAGAUUGGCACUGCCCUGGGCUGCACAGGAGGCUGGGAGGGCAGCAAACGGGGCAUCCGGGCUACACAGUUAUUGCCCCAAGCAAAGCCAGGUUCUGAGCAAAGAGGGAAGAGAGACACAGCCAGGCCCUUCUCCCCACGGCCCCUGCUGCCACGCGUGGGCCUCAGAGCCUUCGAGCUCACGGAGCAAACCCGCCACUGAAGACCCCUGCCCCCGCCACAGUGUUGGUGGCAGCCUGGACAGCGGCUGGGGGACUGAGGCUGGUGCCCGAGCCCCAGGAUCCUGAGAGUGGGGUUCUCCAGCAGCCGGUUCUCGGGCUGUGAACCGCAUGGCUUCAGCCCCACCUCACCCACAUCCGACGUGAGCCGCCCCUGAUCCUUCACCUGUGAGCGGACACAGACGUGUACACAGGCAGUGGGAGAGUCCCGGGGAGAAGAUGGCCGUCCAUAAACCAGGGCCAGAGGCUUGGAGCAGGUGUUCCCUUCCGGCCUCCAAGGGAGCCAAGCCUACUGCCACCUGGGUUUUGGACUUCUGGCUUCCAGAACUGCGAGGUGAUAAGCUUCUCUUGUCGAAGGCCCCCAGUCUGUGGUAGUUUAUUAUGGUUCCCGUAGCAAACAAAUGCCCUCAGGUUGGCUGCAUCCUGGGACUGAAGGUCAGCGCUGCUCCGAAGAUGUAAAUGACUUUCUCCUUCUGAGGCUCCGGGGUCCACUCCCGCCAUUGCCAGGAUUCUAGAACUGGUGUGGCCCCUCCACCUGAACCAAGCCCAGGCUCCCAAGUUUCUGACUGUGAUUGUCCACGUUUUGACCACAGCUUUGUAUAUAAAAACCCUUCUUGAACUGUUCCACCAUGUCUACCCACCUAUUGGUACCCUGACUGAUACGUGCUGUAUUGGUUUUUAAAAACUUUUUAAAAUUUAUGUUUUAUUUAGGAUUUUGCAUAUAUGUUUAUGAGAUUGGCCUGUAAUUUUCCUUUCCUAUAUUCUCUGAAUGACUGUUAUCAAGGCUAUCCCAGCCUCAUAAAAUAAGUUCUUCUUUCAUCAAAAUUCACUGGAAAAUUCUGUAUAUAGUUGGAAGGAUCUAUCCUUUGAAAGCUAAAUGGAAUUCACCCAUAAAA